UUCUUUUUUUCUCUCUUUUUCUUUUCUUUUCUCUCGAUUCUUUUUUUGGUUUCUCCGUCUUCUCCGUCACGCAACGAUCGACAACUCUGUCGGUCCUCACGACGUCUCCUCCACGAGCGAUCAAUACCCACCACGAGCGAUCGAUACCUCUCUCUGUUCCCUGAACAAUGGUGGUUCCUCCAAUACCCUCUCUGUUUCACUGGAGAUUUCUGACCGGAAACAAACCACUUCUUACGCUUGAGGAUGAGUUCUUACGUAAUCAUACGAAGGUUUUGCUAACAUAAGACGCGUCAGAUAAAAUUUGGGAAGUGAAACUGGAUGGUGACAAGCUCGCCGGGGGCUGGGAAGAGUUCGCCGCCGUUCAUAAUUUCAGGGUAAGAAAAGGAAGGACACUGUGUGCAUUGCUCUCGCUGAUGAAUCAUGUGAGGAGCCAAAGAACAGAAUGAACAAAGUAGUGAGGUCUAACUUGAGGGUUAUACUCGGAGAUGUUAUCUCUAUUCACCAAUGCCCUCAUGUCAAGUAAGGAGAAGGUGUGCACAUCUUGGCCUUUGAUGAUACUGUCGAAGGAGUCACUGUAAACCUCUUUGAUGCUUACCUGAAACGUAAGUUGUCUUUUUUUUUUUUCAAUUGAGAUAUUGUUUAUAUGUAUUGAUUGAUUUUGUUCUCAUAACAUUUUGAGGGGGUAGAUGAUGAAAAUUUUAAUCAAUUUUUUUUUUUUUAA